UACGUAGGGGGCAAGCGUUGUCCGGAUUUAUUGGGCGUAAAGAGCGUGUAGGCGGUCAGGUAGGUCCUUGUGAAACUCGAGGCUCAACCUCGAGACGCCGAUGGAAACCAUCUGACUAGAGUCCGGAAGAGGAGAGUGGAAUUCCUGGUGUAGCGGUGAAAUGACGCAGAUAUCAGGAAGAACACCCGUGGCUAAGGCGGCUCUCUAGUACGGUACUGACGCUGAGACGCGAAAGCGUGGGGAGCGAACAGG
rnacentral:rRNA from 1 species